rnacentral:misc_RNA from 1 species
AAUUGAGAAAUACAAGGGAGUGAACUGUUGUCUGACUAAUUCUCCCGCCAACAACUACUUCACCUGGUCAGGUGUCACAUUUGUGUUUACCUUUACGCAUCUUGACACACUGUUCCUGUUUACCUUUACGUAUCUUGACACUGGUACCGUUUCAAGGUAGACGGUCACUCCCCACGAGUCUCCAGUCGAAAUGGUUGUCUCAUUUACUGUGUUGUUACUCUGUUUAGUCUGGUCACAUGCAGUUGAAGGUUCGAAAACAGACAGCAAAAAAUCACAGGAGCUUGCUACGUCUCUCGGCUCUGUAGUGGUGGUCGGGGCUGGAGUGGCUGGAUUAGCAGCGGCCAGGUCCCUCUCCAACUCUGGCCAGUGGGAUGUUACUGUGUUAGAAGCACGGAGGGAGCGCUAUGGGGGUCGUGUGUGGACUGACCGCAUCAACUUUGACCGUGCAAAAGGUGUUGAAGCUGAUCUGGGAAUUGUUAUGUUUGAUGAUGAUGACCCUGAGAACAUGUUGAGUGAAUUUUUGGGUCCAUUUGAAGUGAGUCCAAAGCGUAUUGAAUUCAAGCAGUUGAUUGAUGGUAACACAAACAAAGUCUACCGUGAUUUGGAGUUUGAAAAUUUGGCUCAGAUCCAUCAACAGCUUUUAAUGGCUGCUGUCCAGACUUCCAGUUCACCAACCAGAGAUGUUUCAUUGCAAGAAGCCGUUGACAAUUUAUAUCGACUGCAACCGGUUUUCAAAGAGACCCUUCCACCGAAUGUCUUCAAUACCUUGACUUUAGCCAGAUACAAUCUGGCCCCAAAGUUAAUCUCUUGCAGAUCCUUGAAAUCUCGCUUUAACUUACUCCCUAAUACAGUUAUUGAAGAAGGGUUCCAAGAAGUCCUCGACAGGUUGGUCAGUGGUGUUGAGCUGGAAGAAGCACCGUUAAAUCUGGAGAUGAAUAAGGUGGUUUCUCAGAUCAAGAUAGCCCAAGUGGACAAUACCAGUAAGGUUUUGGUCCGAACCAAGGAUCGGCGCCAGAAGAAAGCAGAUGCGGUCAUUGUUGCUGUGCCGUUAGGGGUUCUCAAAGCCUCCCGAAUAGCGUUUGAUCCUAUGCUACCUGUUGAAAAACGUGUGGCUUUGAAUUCCUUAGAGGUUAGCAGUGUGAAUAGCGUUGUCUUUAAAUUUGCUUCAAUAUUUUGGCCAAAGGACACAGAACUCUUCCAUUUCGCCGCAUCCGAUAUGAGUGAAAUUGGAUUGAUGACCACUUGGUUAAACACUGGCUGGUUGUCUCGUCGUAAGGAUCCGUAUUUGACCACCUUUAUCCAAGGCAAUACUGCUACCAAGUUUGGAAAUUACUCUGACACCCAACUUAAAACUAUCGCACUGGAACGGUUAGCAGCAAUGUUUCAUUUGAAGAAUUUGUCCAAAGAUGCCAUCUUGAGUGUGACAACAAGUAACUGGGCAGCUGAUCCUUUCAGUCAGGGACUUCUCUCUUACCCCACCGUCGGUAUGUCCCAAACCCAGUGGGAUGCUGUCUCCAAGCCGGUCUGUCCUCACAUCUACUUCGCCAACGACUAUACUGACUCCACCAGAUUCGGCACCAUCCAGGGGGCGUUUAGAUCUGGACUCCGAGCAGCUGAGCACCUCAUGCAAGGGUGCCAUGGAAAUGUCCCACACCCCAAAAUGAGAUAUUUAAAGGAGCCGAAGGGAUCAAGAAAAAGGGGUCAAGGAAAGAAGCAGCUCAGAGCAACUGUAAAGGUCAACAGAACCAAGAAAGAAGAACUAUGAGCUAUUGUUGAUAUUGUAGUAUGAGGUGAUGGCCAGAAUUGGAACUUACUAGUUCUGUGUUAUCUUUGUGAAUUAUGUUACUGAUUAUUUGAUAUGUAAAUAUCACCAAUGUGUGUAUAUACAUAUAUAGUGAAUUUGUAUGUGUGUAUAUAUGUAUAUAUAUUAACUUUCUCUCUCUCUCAAUAUAUAAUCCUAUUUUUGGAUGGUGAAAUUCAAAGCACAUAAUACUAUAAAUAAAAGCAUGUAAGUAUUGGGUGGAAAAUUCCUCUUGGAUAGAAAAAGACUAAAGCUGUCCCACGGGCAGCUUCCAACUUUUCUAUCCGAAAGGUUUUUAACCCAAUAUUUAUAUGUUGUAAGGCGGUGAGCUGGCAGAAAUGUUAGCAUGCCGGGUGAAAUGCUUAGCG